rnacentral:misc_RNA from 1 species
CGGCGUUCAUCGAUCAGUGGCCACCAGUCGUACAGCAGGACUUCCAGGGGACGCCACAUCGCGACCCAUCCGGUGAUGACGAGUCCCUCGCGAAGGAUCUCUCGCAGAGCCUGCUCUUGGUCACGCAAGUCGGCCAGUGCAUCCCAUACCUGUGGGUAGCGUUCGAAAAUUGGCUGCAGGAUCCAGCGAAUCCGAUGUGGUUCUUUAUCCUCCUCUGGUUCUCGAUCUUCACAUUUGUGGCGAUUCCCUGCAGCAUUCGGCUUGGCGCCUUGUGGGGUGCUCAGGACAGUCGGAUGCCUCGUUUCCUACCGCCCUUCAAUUCGCCCUCGCAUUAGGAUCCGGCCAGUCUCCGACAGGCCCAACGUUUGGUCCGCACUACGGCGUCACACAGUAGUAGAUCCCGUCCGCGCGGCCCCCGCGCCGUAUAAUCCACCCAAGGUGCGUCGUGACGAAGUCGACUUGAACGUGAGUGGACUUCAGGCUGUCCUUGUCCAGCGGGUGCAAGUCCCGCCUCGGUAAGCGCCGGAGCGCCGAGUAGCAGACCCCAGGCGUCGUGAGAGAUCACGAGGUCCGAGCGGGGUGUUAGAAGCCUCUACGGAGGAAGCGAGCACACGGGCCGCAACUUAACGUGAAGCCUGCAGAUCGCACAUCGAUUGGUUGGCUUUCGGAUUCCCGUACGAACCGUAUAGUGCUCCACCAGAAUCGAUCGUGCGGAAUACAUUCGGGCUGGUCGCCGGCCUCGACGUUUUGCUGCGCGCUGGUCGUCAUCUGAGCGUGGUACCGCAGCUCCGGGUCCACUGGAUCGCGCCGGAGGACGAUUCGACGGCGGCGUCACCGCGGUUCCUAGGACUCAGCCCGAUCCUGUGGCAACCUGCGAUCAGCCUUCGAACAACUUUUUGAAGCUCCGCAAGCAGUGACCAAACGCGACUCUGACAUUGGUCCACGAACCAUGAGCCGGCAAGGCCGCUGGGCGUUUCUGGCCUUGGUGGUCGCACAAGCCGCACAUUCGCUCGAGGAGUACAUCUUUCGUCUCUUUGACGUGUUUGCGCCCGCACGUUUCGUGAGCGGCUUGGUCAGCACGAAUCUGGGCGUCGGGUUCGUGGUGGUCAACGCGGCACUCGUCUUGUUCGGGCUCUGGUGCUAUUUCGCGCGCGUGCGGCCAGGUCACCCGUCCGGCCCUGUAUUCGCAUGGUCCUGGACGGCGCUGGAGUUCGCCAACGGAAUCGGGCACAGCCUUCUGGCGUUAUCACGAGGUGGUUAUUUCCCAGGAGUGGCGACGGCUCCUGCGCUGCUCGGCGUGUCAGCGUAUCUCGCUUUCCGGCUCUCGACGCUGUCGCGCUCGUGAUGCCGUCGUAUCCACCGAACACGAAGGCCACCAUGGACCGCCUGAUGAGUCUAAGGCGAGUCUGAGCCUAAGGCCGUGCCGUCGGGAAGAACUCGUGACUUCCCGCCGCCAAAACCGCUCCACGAUUGGCUGUGUCCAUCUCCCGAGCGCGGCUAUCAGACGGCGAGGCGGGUGCCGAUGCCAGCCGACGUGGUGAAAAGUUUACCAGCCCAC